GAUGAACGCUGGCGGCGUGCCUAAUACAUGCAAGUCGAGCGAACAGACGAGGAGCUUGCUCCUCUGACGUUAGCGGCGGACGGGUGAGUAACACGUGGAUAACCUACCUAUAAGACUGGGAUAACUUCGGGAAACCGGAGCUGAUACCGGAUAACAUGUUGAACCGCAUGGUUCAACAGUGAAAGACGGUCUUGCUGUCACUUAUAGAUGGAUCCGCGCCGCAUUAGCUAGUUGGUAAGGUAACGGCUUACCAAGGCAACGAUGCGUAGCCGACCUGAGAGGGUGAUCGGCCACACUGGAACUGAGACACGGUCCAGACUCCUACGGGAGGCAGCAGUAGGGAAUCUUCCGCAAUGGGCGAAAGCCUGACGGAGCAACGCCGCGUGAGUGAAGAAGGUCUUCGGAUCGUAAAACUCUGUUAUUAGGGAAGAACAAAUGUGUAAGUAACUAUGCACGUCUUGACGGUACCUAAUCAGAAAGCCACGGCUAACUACGUG
rnacentral:rRNA from 1 species